rnacentral:tRNA from 1 species
AGGCCAGUAGCGCAAUUGGCAGCGCAGCGGUCUCCAAAACCGCGGGUUGGGGGUUCGAGUCCCUCCUGGCCUG